rnacentral:tRNA from 1 species
AGUAAAAUGGCCGAGAAUAAGCGAUAAACUGUAAAUUUAUAAACGAAAUUAAUUUCUUUUACU